GAUGAAGAACGUAGCGAAAUGCGAUAAGUAAUGUGAAUUGCAGAAUUCAGUGAAUCAUCGAAUCUUUGAACGCACAUUGCGCCCGCCAGUAUUCUGGCGGGCAUGCCUGUUCGAGCGUCAUUUCAACCAUCAAGCCCCCGGCUUGUGUUGGGGACCUGCGGCUGCCGCAGGCCCUGAAAACCAGUGGCGGGCUCGCUGUCACACCGGGCGUAGUAGAUUUUAUCUCGCUCAGGGCGUGCUGCGGGUUCCGGCCGUUAAAAAGCCUUUUUUACCCAAGGUUGACCUCGGAUCAGGUAGGAAUACCCGCUGAACUUAAGCAUAUCAAUAAGCGGAGGA
rnacentral:misc_RNA from 1 species